ACGAACGCUGGCGGCGUGCCUCAUCCCUGCAAGUUGAGCGAUGAAGAUUGGUGCUUGCACCAAUUUGAAGAGCAGCGAACGGGUGAGUAACGCGUGGGGAAUCUGCCUUUGAGCGGGGGACAACAUUUGGAAACGAAUGCUAAUACCGCAUAACAACUUUAAACAUAAGUUUUAAGUUUGAAAGAUGCAAUUGCAUCACUCAAAGAUGAUCCCGCGUUGUAUUAGCUAGUUGGUGAGGUAAAGGCUCACCAAGGCGAUGAUACAUAGCCGACCUGAGAGGGUGAUCGGCCACAUUGGGACUGAGACACGGCCCAAACUCCUACGGGAGGCAGCAGUAGGGAAUCUUCGGCAAUGGACGAAAGUCUGACCGAGCAACGCCGCGUGAGUGAAGAAGGUUUUCGGGUCGUAAAACUCUGUUGGUAGAGAAGAACGUUGGUGAGAGUGGAAAGCUCAUCAAGUGACGGUAACUACCCAGAAAGGGACGGCUAACUACGUG
rnacentral:rRNA from 1 species